UGAAAAUAAUCACUCAGUGAUAAGAAUAGUAAAGAGUUUUAUUUGAGCCAAACUGAAAACUAGCCCGGAAGCCAGCUUCCCAGAUUACUCUGAGAAGCUGCUGUGGAAAAGUGUGGUUUCCAGCACAGU